rnacentral:rRNA from 1 species
UACGUAGGGGGCAAGCGUUGUCCGGAAUUAUUGGGCGUAAAGAGCUUGUAGGCGGUUUGUCGCGUCUGCCGGUGAAACUUUCGGGGCUCAACCCCGAACUUGCGGUGGGUACGGGCAGGACUAGAGUGUGGGUAGGGGAGACUGGAAUUCCUGGUGUAGCGGUGAAAUGCGCAGAUAUCAGGAGGAACACCGAGUGGCGAAGGCAGGUCUCUGGGCCAACUACUGACGCUGGAGAAGCGAAAGCAUGGGGAGCGAACAGG